GAUCAUUACCGAGUUUACAACUCCCAAACCCAUGUGAACAUUACCUCUAUGUUGCUUCGGCGGAGCCGCCCCGGCGCCCGGAACCCCCUGCGGUCCCGCGGCCCGGAACCAAGGCGCCCGCCGGAGGCCACAAACUCUUCUGUUUUUACAGUUUCUUCUGAGUGUGCCGCAAGGCAGUAUACAAAUGAAUCAAAACUUUCAACAACGGAUCUCUUGGUUCUGGCAUCGAUGAAGAACGCAGCGAAAUGCGAUAAGUAAUGUGAAUUGCAGAAUUCAGUGAAUCAUCGAAUCUUUGAACGCACAUUGCGCCCGCCAGAAUUCUGGCGGGCAUGCCUGUUCGAGCGUCAUUUCAACCCUCGAGCUCCCCUUUCGGGGGGAGCCCGGCGUUGGGGACCCGGCGCUAACAACGCCGGCCCCGAAAUGGAGUGGCGGCCCGUCCGCGGCGACCUCUGCGUAGUAGCAACCACUCGCACCGGGACCCGGGCGCGGCCACGCCGUAAAACACCCCACCUUCCGAAUGUUGACCUCGAAUCAGUAGGAAUACCCGCUGAACUUAAGCAUAU
rnacentral:rRNA from 1 species